GACGAACGCUGGCGGCGCGCUUAACACAUGCAAGUCGAACGGAAAGGCCUGCUUUCCCUUGUGGAUUGCGGGUACUCGAGUGGCGAACGGGUGAGUAACACGUGAGUGAUCUGCCCCCAACUUGGGUAUAAGCCUGGGAAACUGGGUCUAAUUCCCGAUAGGACUGCAGGGUGGUGCCUGUGGUGGAAAACGAUUUUCUAGUGGUUGGGGAUGAGCUCGCGGCCUAUCAGCUUGUUGGUGGGGUAAUGGCCUACCAAGGCGGCGACGGGUAGCCGGCCUGAGAGGGUGGACGGGCACAGUGGGACUGAGAUACGGCCCAGACUCCUACGGGCGGCAGCAGUGGGGAAGAGGGCACAAUGGGCGGAAGCCUGAUGCAGCGACGCCGCGUGGGGGAUGACGGGCUUCGGGUGGUAAACUCCUUUCGACCGCGAGGAAGCCACCUGGUUGGAAGGGUGGUGACGGUAGUGGUAGAAGAAGCACCGGCUAACUACGUG
rnacentral:rRNA from 1 species